UCUUGAUCAUCAAGCUGCAGAAUUUUUAACUCACAAGGCUAUGUUUCUAGAUGAAGAAAUGAAUUAGCUUUGCAUGGGGGCACGACCUAACAAAUACACCAACUGCUGAUGGGAGAAUCCAACAGUGAGAGCCAGGGAUUAAAACCUUCAGAAGAUCAGCCAGGACUAUGCCAAAUGAGACAGACUGUCCCAAAUCCUCAGUGAAGCUGCUGA